CUCAAUGAGAUUAACAAAUUGGGUACAAAUAACACAUUCCAGUAAUACAGUAAGGUUCAUAGUCCAAUUAACCGAAUCGACGCCUACAAUGCUAAUUUACUAAUGCUACAGUUAAUACAAGUUCAACAGGGUUCAAAAAAGAACUAAUGCAGGUUUCUGGGUCGGGAGAACCAACAAUAGUCGAUGGCAUCUCAGCACAUCCAAUUUGGAGAUAACCCGGAAACUCCAAGAAUACCAAGCACCUUGUGAGGUGUUGAUGACAAUAUCAGGUGGUACGGGAUUAUUUCCCACUCCUUGUCACCCUUCGGAACAUGUCUUUUAUGUUCUUUGAUCCUACCUCAGGCUUCAGUUUCUUUGCAGGUCUCCCUUUGCUUGAUUUGGCACUGCCAUUUCCUACGCCCCCCUGUAUUGACGCAUUUCACAAGCUUAGAGAACAUGGUGUGAGCGUUGAAAAAGGAUCAAGCAUUCUCAAGGAGUUUACCUCCGAGGGACAAGCUGGAGCAGGUACCGGAGAACUAUCAGCACAAAAUGACGUGUCAUUGGUUUUGGCCAUAUCAUUGAUCUCAUUGAUAUCUAAUCUGCAGUGGAGUGGAUUGUGCUAGCAUGAGAUAAAUGGACAAUACGGAACUACCAAUUCUUCUUUUCUUUUACUUUGCUGAGGGAACUACUGACUCUUGUCCAAAGAAAUAAGUCUUACUGCAACUUCUUGCAGAGUACCGUUAGCCAAGGUUCACCCUUCAGGUUUUCGCGAAUUAUUUGUACAGCCUCCUUCACUGUAGCACAAAUAGUAAAAAGAGCUCCAUAAGAGCAACACAGUUCACCUUAUCAAGAAAAUUUUAAGCUAAGGUUCUACAAUCUGACAUGGGUCAGGAAUUUCAAUUUUAUUGGAAUUUCUCAUAAUGAAGUACUCUCUCUGUUCCAAAAUAAGUGAGUCAACUUUAUACUAACUUUAGCACAAAGUGGAGUCACUUAAUUUGGGACGGAGGGAGUAGUACAUACCACAUGUACAGUAAUACUGGCACAAGGACAGGGUAAUCUCAGCUGUAUUACAGAAGCAAGGGUACCAACGAAGUUAUAUAACUUGAUCUAUCCCUUUUUCUGUACCCCUCCACUGGGCUUAGAUCAAUAUACAAUAAAGCUCCCUUAAGUUUACAGUCAAAAUUUGCAUGAAAAGAAAGUCCGAGGACUAUUGUCAUAGCUUAAGGCAAGUUGGAUAUAGAUCACACUAAUGGCCCAUGUUCAAUAAUAUGGUCAUAUAAAUGUGGAACUUACGAGCAACAUUUAAUUGUUUGAUUAAGAGAUGAACAGACACUUGCAAAAACAAACUGGGCAAUAAGAUGACGGCAAGUUACAGUGACAUACACAGUUCUCUUUCUCCUUGAGCAGCAUAAUUUUUACCUAACUUGGAGAUAGCCUCUUUUAUACUGUUUACCUGUAAAUGAGAUUGAGAGUACAUAUUUAGUUGUUGAUAGUACAGAGGAAGUGAAAAAGUAUGAUUUGGAAUUCAAUUCACCAACGAAGUUGUAAUUACGGAAACAAAUCAAAACAGAGUAGCAACUUAUCAUGAGAAACUGUUAUCCUUCUUGCUCUCAUUUAAGGAUUAAGUGAACUAGUGACGGCAGUGCAUAUCCAUUUUAUGUUCAUGUUUAUGCUUGUUGUUAGCUUUGACUGCCUGGUUUAGUGACUAGUGAUGCAUUUUAUCUUUUGUCUUGUUUUUGUCAGCGCCAACUCCACACACGAAGAUAACAUGACAAGAUGCAUUACAUUGGUUUCCCAAUGAAGUGGUAUAUCUUCAAAUAUUUUUUCACAAGAAACAGCUCAUCAGUAUAAUAAGCAGCCUCCUGCACUCAGAUGAUCAUGCUGUAGGACUGCUCACUAGUCAGUAGUCAUUACAGUGAACACUCGUCGCCUUCUCAGCAAUUGCUCUCUGACAUCUUAAUCACAGAGGAUUGCAGUACCCCAGCGG
rnacentral:lncRNA from 1 species